rnacentral:rRNA from 1 species
UACGAAGGGGGCUAGCGUUGCUCGGAAUCACUGGGCGUAAAGCGCACGUAGGCGGAUUGCUAAGUCAGGGGUGAAAUCCCGGGGCUCAACCCCGGAACUGCCUUUGAUACUGGUAGUCUCGAGUCUGGAAGAGGUGAGUGGAAUUCCGAGUGUAGAGGUGAAAUUCGUAGAUAUUCGGAGGAACACCAGUGGCGAAGGCGGCUCACUGGUCCGGUACUGACGCUGAGGUGCGAAAGCGUGGGGAGCAAACAGG